AUUGAACGCUGGCGGCAGGCCUAACACAUGCAAGUCGAACGGUAACAGGAAGAAGCUUGCUUCUUUGCUGACGAGUGGCGGACGGGUGAGAAAUGUCUGGGAAACUGCCUGAUGGAGGGGGAUAACUACUGGAAACGGUAGCUAAUACCGCAUAACGUCGCAAGCCCAAAGAGGGGGACAUUCGGGCCUCUUGCCAUCGGAUGCGCCCAGAUGGGAUUAGCUAGUAGGUGGGGUAACGUCUCACCUAGGCGACGAUCCCUAGCUGGUCUGAGAGGAUGACCAGCCACACUGGAACGGAGACACGGUCCAGACUCCUGCGAGAGGCAGCAGUGGGGAAUGUUUGACAAUGGGCGGAAGCCUGAUGCAGCCAUGCCGCGUGUAUGAAGAAGGCCUUCGGGUUGUGAAGUACUUUCUGCGGGGAGGAAGGGAGUAAAGUUAAUACCUAUGCUCAUUGACGUUACCCGCAGAAGAAGCACCGGCUAACUCCGUG
rnacentral:rRNA from 1 species